rnacentral:rRNA from 1 species
GACGAACGCUGGCGGCGUGCUUAACACAUGCAAGUCGAACGGAAAGGCCCUGCUUUUGUGGGGUGCUCGAGUGGCGAACGGGUGAGUAACACGUGAGUAACCUGCCCUUGACUUUGGGAUAACUUCAGGAAACUGGGGCUAAUACCGGAUAGGAGCUCCUGCUGCAUGGUGGGGGUUGGAAAGUUUCGGCGGUUGGGGAUGGACUCGCGGCUUAUCAGCUUGUUGGUGGGGUAGUGGCUUACCAAGGCUUUGACGGGUAGCCGGCCUGAGAGGGUGACCGGCCACAUUGGGACUGAGAUACGGCCCAGACUCCUACGGGAGGCAGCAGUGGGGAAUAUUGCACAAUGGGCGGAAGCCUGAUGCAGCAACGCCGCGUGCGGGAUGACGGCCUUCGGGUUGUAAACCGCUUUCGCCUGUGACGAAGCGUGAGUGACGGUAAUGGGUAAAGAAGCACCGGCUAACUACGUGCCAGCAGCCGCGGUGAUACGUAGGGUGCGAGCGUUGUCCGGAUUUAUUGGGCGUAAAGGGCUCGUAGGUGGUUGAUCGCGUCGGAAGUGUAAUCUUGGGGCUUAACCCUGAGCGUGCUUUCGAUACGGGUUGACUUGAGGAAGGUAGGGGAGAAUGGAAUUCCUGGUGGAGCGGUGGAAUGCGCAGAUAUCAGGAGGAACACCAGUGGCGAAGGCGGUUCUCUGGGCCUUUCCUGACGCUGAGGAGCGAAAGCGUGGGGAGCGAACAGGCUUAGAUACCCUGGUAGUCCACGCUGUAAACGGUGGGUACUAGGUGUGGGGUCCAUUCCACGGGUUCCGUGCCGUAGCUAACGCUUUAAGUACCCCGCCUGGGGAGUACGGCCGCAAGGCUAAAACUCAAAGGAAUUGACGGGGCCCCGCACAAGCGGCGGAGCAUGCGGAUUAAUUCGAUGCAACGCGUAGAACCUUACCUGGGUUUGACAUGGAUCGGGAGUGCUCAGAGAUGGGUGUGCCUCUUUUGGGGUCGGUUCACAGGUGGUGCAUGGCUGUCGCCAGCUCGUGUCGUGAGAUGUUGGGUUAAGUCCCGCAACGAGCGCAACCCUUGUUCACUGUUGCCAGCACGUUAUGGUGGGGACUCAGUGGAGACCACCGGGGUCAACUCGGAGGAAGGUGGGGAUGACGUCAAGUCAUCAUGCCCCUUAUGUCCAGGGCUUCACGCAUGCUACAAUGGCUGGUACAGAGAGUGGCGAGCCUGUGAGGGUGAGCGAAUCUCGGAAAGCCGGUCUCAGUUCGGAUUGGGGUCUGCAACUCGACCUCAUGAAGUCGGAGUCGCUAGUAAUCGCAGAUCAGCAACGCUGCGGUGAAUACGUUCCCGGG